UACGGGGGGGGCAAGCGUUGUUCGGAAUUACUGGGCGUAAAGGGCUCGUAGGUGGCCAACUAAGUCAGACGUGAAAUCCCUCGGCUUAACCGGGGAACUGCGUCUGAUACUGGAUGGCUUGAGUUCGGGAGAGGGACGUGGAAUUCCGGGUGUAGUGGUGAAAUGCGUAGAGAUCCGGAGGAACCCCAGAGGCGAAGGCGGCGUCCUGGCUCGCAUCUGACGCUCAGACACGACAGCAUGGGGAGCGAACGGG
rnacentral:rRNA from 1 species